GCUUUAUAAAUAUGGGGUGAUCUCAAAAUCCACAUUUAAACCCUGUGGUAUUAAAGUAUGCAUAUUGAAAAUCCACUUCAUUUCCGUCUUAUUAAGUAAAUUUUCCUUAUCUCCACCUCUCCAAUGUGUAUCAACUUUUUCAAUUCCUAUAAAAUCUAGGUAUUUCGGAUCACUGUUAUGAUGUUCCAUAAAAUGUUUCGAAACACU